GACGAACGCUGGCGGCGUGCUUAACACAUGCAAGUCGAACGCUGAAGCUCAGCUUGCUGGGUGGAUGAGUGGCGAACGGGUGAGUAACACGUGAGUAACCUGCCCUCUUCUUUGGGAUAACGCCCGGAAACGGGUGCUAAUACUGGAUAUUCACUGAUUCUCGCAUGGGGGUUGGUGGAAAGGUUUUUUCUGGUGGGGGAUGGGCUCGCGGCCUAUCAGCUUGUUGGUGGGGUGAUGGCCUACCAAGGCUUUGACGGGUAGCCGGGCUGAGAGGGUGACCGGGCACAUUGGGAAUGGGAUACGGCCCAGACUCCUACGGGAGGCAGCAGUGGGGAAUAUUGCACAAUGGGCGAAAGCCUGAUGCAGCGACGCCGCGUGAGGGAUGGAGGCCUUCGGGUUGUAAACCUCUUUCGCUCAUGGUCAAGCCGCAGCUUUGGGUUGUGGUGAGGGUAGUGGGUAAAGAAGCGCCGGCUAACUACGUG
rnacentral:rRNA from 1 species